CGAUUCUAGAAAACGGCACGAAAUUGAGAAAUUAACAUAAAAAUGGAAAUAAAUCAAUAAACAUCUAUUAAGUCACUGCGAGGAGAAUCUGCAUAAAAAUGGAGAGGCAUCAAAUAUACGCGUCUACAGAUAUACUGUUAAAGGAAUGCAGCUGCAACUGAUGACUAUAGAAUUUUUACAGCCAACACAAAUCCCAUCAAAAUUUGUUGAGAAAAUAAAUACACAGCCAGCAGAACGUGCGCAAAUGAGUCUAUCGACAGCAGCA